UUCAUCGCGUUCUGUCUCCUCCUCUCCCCUCGCUGGCUAGGGUUAGUCGAUUUUGUUGCGUUCUGUCUCUUCCUCCUCUCUGAUGGUACCUUUUGUUCUAUAGAUCUGCGUGAAGCUUAUCAGUUUGAUGCCUUUUUGUAGGUUUCUUUUGCUCUGGUCUUUGAUGGUGCUCGGAUUCAGUGCCCCCCUUCUUGGAUCCGUGAGGAGAUCUGCUUUUUCAGGUAUGUAUAUGCUCGAAUCUCUCGUCCUUUUGAUUAGUUCUAGUUCGUGGUUUAGGUUUGAUGCUUGGUGCGAUGCGUCUGUGCAAGCAUGCGUUGGCUAGGGUUUGCCAGUCCCCUCCUCGUUCUCAUACUGAAGCGGGAUUGGAGGUGUAGAUUUGUAGCCCUCUAUUCUGUAGUUUUUUUGUUAAUGUUUUGUUGCUAGGGUUUCUUAGGUUUAUAUUUUUCUUGUUCCAAUCUGCGCCAUGUUGAGCCUUUGUGUGAUGUUGGCCCCAUCUUUUAAGCCUUUGUGUGAUGUUAGCCCCAUCUUUGAGCCUUUGUGCUAGGGGUUCUUAGGUUUAUAUUGUUAAUUUUUCUUGUUCCAAUCUGCGCCAUGUUGAGCCUUUGUUAGUCUUAGAUUGUUAGGGUUUCUCAAUUUUCCUUCUUUUAUGUUCCAAUCCACCAUUAGGUCUUAUACUGCAGUUUUGGAUUUGAAUUGCCUAUUAGUUUUAUAUUCUUUUUUAGAUGUGUUCUUUUUGCAUGUUCUAGGUGUUUUUUUCUGUGUUUUAAGGGCUUAUUUUCUGAAAAAGAUCAUUCAUUUUUUGUAUCUAGUGUGUGUAUAAUCAUUGAUAGUUAUAGGUAGUAGGGUAGUUGUUACUUGAGUGAAAGAAGGUUUGAUUUUUUAGCCUAAAUGUUGAUAUCUUGUUUUUUGCCUGAGCAGUUUAAGAAGUUGUUGAAUUCAAUUUUUUAUGAGCAUUUUAGUAAGUAGUGUUAGUAUGAUGUUAUAGUAUUUGUUACUAAUUUGUCAAAAAAAUUAUUCUUUUGUUGCAGGCAUGGUUUGCCCUGUUUGUCGUUGUCCAAUUUUUUGUGUUUUCUAGUUGGGUUGCUUGUUUAUUAAGUUGUUUGUUAUCACUGUUGUGUAGUAUAAGCAUAAUUGGCUUGGUGCCAAAAAUUGUUAUGCCAAUGUUUGACACUGUGCCAAAUAUUGGCUACUACUUUGGUAGGUUACUGGUUUGUCUUGCCUAUCUCACAAAAAGUUGCCAAUAGUUUGGCAAGUAUUGGUAUUGCCAAUUUUUGUCAAUGCCAACUUUUGGCUAGCCAAAUUUUUGGCAGCAAACCAUCAUGCUCUAUAACUGUAAAGAACUUGGUUGAUAUGUUAUUUUUCUGCAGUUUAUGUUUGUGGUUCUAGUUAAUGUUCUUUUUGUUCCUUGGCAAUUGGCAUCGAGCAAGAAAAGCCUAGGGGGAGCUUCGCCGUUGCUUCCUCUGCUCCGCUCACCUGUCGUAUUUGGAGCAAAGCGAUCGAGGCAUCAACUAAAUAGUAUAUAUUUUUAUCAAGAGCAAUCUAUCCUUAAAAAGCAUCGCCUACUGCACCACCAUCAUGCUUUUGGGAACUGGUGCUAACUCAUCCACUGUCAAGUGUCAAGCUUAAAAGUGUAUCCUAAAUAGAGUAUUUGAUUGAUGAACUUGUCGCCCCCACAGGCAGUACAAAUGAUUUUAAAUUAUAAAGAAGAAGAUUAUAUUAUGUGCAUGGAGCAAAGACGGGUGGGGUGGAGAUCUAUGCUGCUCCAACGUUGCACCCACUCAAAGAUGCAAAUUCUGCUAGCUUUAGCUCCAGGGAGGCGCCCAUUUUAAAGAUGCAAAUGCUCCGGCCAAUGCGGCCCAGCACCCCCUUUACUACGAUGAUGCUCUGGUAUAGUCCUGGCCUCUAACUUGUACUAUUUUCUAGGACAUCUCACAAAGACAAAAGAAUGUGCAUAAAUGUGACCAGCUAAACCAAGCUUCGACAUGAAUUGAUGCAUUUAGUGCAAAUUGUAAUGUUUACGUACACUUUUGAGCACUGUUCAAGAACUCGGCCGAGUUACCAUUUAAAUGCCCAUUUAAUCACUACUCGGUGCCUAACUGAGGCGAAUAGCGCAUACUCGGUUCAUUAAAUGGUCAAGCCGAUUAACUGGCAUUUAAUCGGUUGUCAGACGAUUAACUGGUUGUCAAACCGAUUAAUCGGUGAUAGGUCAGGUAACUAUUUGAGUAUUUGCGGUCUAUGAACCUUAUUACCUAAUACCUAUUAUGCUAUUUGUGUUGAACCUUAUAGUGAAUUAUUCCAUGUUCACAUGUGUGGCUACUAUUUAUCUUGUUAUGUGUGGCUGCAUAUUGCCAAGUUGUGUGGCUGUCAUUUUAAUUUAUCUUAUCAUGUCUCAUGUGUGGCUUCUUGUUGUCACAUGUAUGGCUGUCGUUUACUCAUUUAUCUUGACAAGUUUAGAGCAUAUACAAAUGCAUAUCUAUCUUCUAUCAUCAAUUUUGCAGGUUUGUUGCCUUCCGGUUUGGAUGCAUCAUGACCAAACCGUCAAGGUAACAAUUCUACCUAUUGUGGGGCUGUUUUCUCAUAUUUUAGUAUAAAUGUAUAAUAUGUGCCUGUGAACAUUGGAUUAUAUGGUGUACAAUACGUGAAAAACUAGUUACAUGUUGCCAAUAUAUUCUCAUGUGCAGCCGAUUAAUGAUCGACCGAUUAAUUCAG
rnacentral:lncRNA from 1 species